rnacentral:rRNA from 1 species
AGCCGUAGCGAAAGCGAGUCCGAAUAGGCGAUUGAGUCGCGUGUCCUAGACCCGGAAGCGGAGUGAUCUACCCAUGGCCAGGUUGAAGCGACGGUAAGACGUCGUGGAGGACCGAACCCACCAGGGUUGAAAACCUGGGGGAUGAGCUGUGGGUAGGGGUGAAAGGCCAAUCAAACUCCGUGAUAGCUGGUUCUCCCCGAAAUGCAUUUAGGUGCAGCGUCACGUGUUUCUUGCCGGAGGUAGAGCACUGGAUGGGCUAGGGGGCCUACAAGCUUACUGAACUCAACCAAACUCCGAAUGCCGGUAAGUGAGAGCGUGGCAGUGAGACUGCGGGCGAUAAGGUUCGUAGUCGAGAGGGAAACAACCCAGAUCACCAACUAAGGUCCCAAAGCGUGUGCUAAGUGGGAAAGGAUGUGGAGUUGCAUAGACAACCAGGAGGUUGGCUUAGAAGCAGCCACCCUUGAAAGAGUGCGUAAUAGCUCACUGGUCAAGUGAUUCCGCGCCGACAAUGUAACGGGGCCC